rnacentral:rRNA from 1 species
AAUGAACGCUGGCGGCGUGCUUCAGACAUGCAAGUCGUACGAGAAAGUUUUCUUCGGAGAGCGAGUAAAGUGGCGCACGGGUGAGUAAUACUUAGAUAACGUACCUUUUCGCUGGGGACAACUGGAGGAAACUCCAGCUAAUACCGAAUACUCCGUUAGAGACUGCGGUCUUUAACGGGAAAGCCGUAAGGCGCGAAAAGAGCGGUCUAAGACCAAUUAGCUUGAUGGUGAGGUAAAGGCUCACCAUGGCUUCGAUGGGUAGCUGGUCUGAGAGGAUGAUCAGCCACACUGGUACUGGAACACGGACCAG